rnacentral:rRNA from 1 species
AGCAGCCGCGGUAAUUCCAGCUCCAAUAGCGUAUAUUAAAGUUGUUGCAGUUAAAAAGCUCGUAGUUGAACUUCAGGCCUGUCCAGAUGGUCCGCCUUAAUUGGUGUGUACUGUCCUUGGGUGGGUCCUACCUUCUGGCGAAGCGGCAUGGCCUUAGUUGGUUGUGUCGGGGAACCAGGACUUUUACUGUGAAAAAUUAGAGUGUUCAAAGCAGGCAUAUAUGCUCGAAUACAUUAGCAUGGAAUAAUGGAAUAGGACGAUGGUUCUAUUUUGUUGGUUCUAGGACCGUUGUAAUGAUUAAUAGGGAUAGUUGGGGGCAUUAGUAUUCAAUUGUCAGAGGUGAAAUUCUUGGAUUUAUUGAAGACUAACUACUGCGAAAGCAUUUGCCAAGGAUGUUUUCAUUAAUCUAAGAACGAAAGUUAGGGGAUCGAAGACGAUCAGAUACCGUCGUAGUCUUAACCAUAAAACUAUGCCGACUAGGAAUCGGGCGAUGUUGACAAAAUGACUCGCUC